AUAGGGGAGCCGUAGGGAAACCGAGUCUUAACUGGGCGAAUAAGUUGCAGGGUAUAGACCCGAAACCCGGUGAUCUAGCCAUGGGCAGGUUGAAGGUUGGGUAACACUAACUGGAGGACCGAACCGACUAAUGUUGAAAAAUUAGCGGAUGACUUGUGGCUGGGGGUGAAAGGCCAAUCAAACCGGGAGAUAGCUGGUUCUCCCCGAAAGCUAUUUAGGUAGCGCCUCGUGAACUCAUCUUCGGGGGUAGAGCACUGUUUCGACUAGGGGGUCAUCCCGACUUACCAACUCGAUGCAAACUACGAAUACCGAAGAAUGUUAUCACGGGAGACACACGGCGGGUGCUAACGUUCGUCGUGAAGAGGGAAACAACCCAGACCGCCAGCUAAGGUCCCAAAGUCAUAGUUAAGUGGGAAACGAAGUGGGAAGGCUCAGACAGCCAGGAUGUUGGCUUAGAAGCAGCCAUCAUUUAAAGAAAGCGUAAUAGCUCACUGGUCGAGUCGGCCUGCGCGGAAGAUGUAACGGGGCUAAACUAUGCACCGAAGCUGCGGCAGCGAUAUGUAAAUAUUGUUGGGUAGGGGAGCGUUCUGUAAGCCUGUGAAGGUGUGCUGUGAGGCAUGCUGGAGGUAUCAGAAGUGCGAAUGCUGACAUAAGUAACGAUAAUGCGGGUGAAAAACCCGCACGCCGGAAGACCAAGGGUUCCUGUCCAACGUUAAUCGGGGCAGGGUGAGUCGACCCCUAAGGCGAGGCAGAAAUGCGUAGUCGAUGGGAAACGGGUUAAUAUUCCCGUACUGGUGAUAAUUGCGAUGGGGGGACGGAGAAGGCUAGGCUAUCCGGGCGACGGUUGUCCCGGUUUAAGGAUGUAGGCAGGUGAAUUAGGCAAAUCCGGUUCACUACAUGCUGAGGUCCGAUGACGAGUCACUACGGUGAUGAAGUAGCUCAUGCCCCGCUUCCAGGAAAAGCCUCUAAGCUCUAGAUUAUCAUUAAUCGUACCCCAAACCGACACAGGUGGUCAGGUAGAGAAUACUCAGGCGCUUGAGAGAACUCGGGUGAAGGAACUAGGCAAAAUGGUGCCGUAACUUCGGGAGAAGGCACGCUGGCAUUAGGUGAAGUGGUUUACCCAUGGAGCUGAAGCCAGUCGCAGAUACCAGCUGGCUGCAACUGUUUAUUAAAAACACAGCACUGUGCAAACACGAAAGUGGACGUAUACGGUGUGACGCCUGCCCGGUGCUGGAAGGUUAAUUGAUGGGGUUAUCCGUAAGGAGAAGCUCUUGAUCGAAGCCCCAGUAAACGGCGGCCGUAACUAUAACGGUCCUAAGGUAGCGAAAUUCCUUGUCGGGUAAGUUCCGACCUGCACGAAUGGCGUAAUGAUGGCCAGGCUGUCUCCACCCGAGACUCAGUGAAAUUGAACUCGCUGUGAAGAUGCAGUGUACCCGCGGCAAGACGGAAAGACCCCGUGAACCUUUACUAUAGCUUGACACUGAACAUUGAGCCUUGAUGUGUAGGAUAGGUGGGAGGCUUUGAAGCGUGGACGCCAGUCUGCGUGGAGCCAACCUUGAAAUACCACCCUUUAAUGUUUGAUGUUCUAACGUUGCCCCAUUAUCUGGGGUGCGGACAGUGUCUGGUGGGUAGUUUGACUGGGGCGGUCUCCUCCCAAAGAGUAACGGAGGAGCACGAAGGUUGGCUAAGCAUGGUCGGACAUCAUGCGGUUAGUGCAAAGGCAUAAGCCAGCUUGACUGCGAGAGUGACGGCUCGAGCAGGUACGAAAGUAGGUCUUAGUGAUCCGGUGGUUCUGAAUGGAAGGGCCAUCGCUCAACGGAUAAAAGGUACUCCGGGGAUAACAGGCUGAUACCGCCCAAGAGUUCAUAUCGACGGCGGUGUUUGGCACCUCGAUGUCGGCUCAUCACAUCCUGGGGCUGAAGUAGGUCCCAAGGGUACGGCUGUUCGCCGUUUAAAGUGGUACGCGAGCUGGGUUUAGAACGUCGUGAGACAGUUCGGUCCCUAUCUGCCGUGGGCGUUGGAAGAUUGAAAGGGGCUGCUCCUAGUACGAGAGGACCGGAGUGGACGCACCACUGGUGUUCGGGUUGUCAUGCCAAUGGCAUUGCCCGGUAGCUAAGUGCGGAAGAGAUAACCGCUGAAAGCAUCUAAGCGGGAAACUUGCCUUGAGAUGAGUCUUCCCUGACCCUUUAAGGGUCCUAAAGGAACGUUUAAGACUAAGACGUUGAUAGGUUGGGUGUGUAAGCGUAGCGAUACGUUGAGCUAACCAAUACUAAUGAACCGUGAGGCUUAACCUG
rnacentral:rRNA from 1 species